rnacentral:rRNA from 1 species
GAUGAACGCUGGCGGCGUGCCUAAUACAUGCAAGUCGAGCGAACAGACGAGGAGCUUGCUCCUCUGACGUUAGCGGCGGACGGGUGAGUAACACGUGGAUAACCUACCUAUAAGACUGGGAUAACUUCGGGAAACCGGAGCUAAUACCGGAUAAUAUAUUGAACCGCAUGGUUCAAUAGUGAAAGACGGUUUUGCUGUCACUUAUAGAUGGAUCCGCGCCGCAUUAGCUAGUUGGUAAGGUAACGGCUUACCAAGGCGACGAUGCGUAGCCGACCUGAGAGGGUGAUCGGCCACACUGGAACUGAGACACGGUCCAGACUCCUACGGGAGGCAGCAGUAGGGAAUAUUCCGCAAUGGGCGAAAGCCUGACGGAGCAACGCCGCGUGAGUGAUGAAGGUCUUCGGAUCGUAAAACUCUGUUAGUAGGGAAGAACAAAUGUGUAAGUAACUAUGCACGUCUUGACGGUACCUAAUCAGAAAGCCACGGCUAACUACGUG